rnacentral:rRNA from 1 species
GAAACAUCUAAGUACCGCAGGAAAGGAAAUCAAACGAGACUCCCCCUAGUAGUGGCGAGCGAACGGGGAACAGCCCAACAAUUCAGUUCGCUGAGUUGGGGUUGUAGGGCCGGCACAGUGGUACGACAGAGGCUAGCAGAAGCAGCUGGGGAAGCUGCAGCAUAGAGGGUGAUACUCCCGUAUGCGAAAGUCCGAGUCGGCCCGCCGGAUCCCUGAGUACCUCGGGACACGUGUAAUCCCGUGGGAAUCUGGGGGGACCACCCUCCAAGGCUAAGUACUACCUGACGACCGAUAGUGAACUAGUACCGUGAGGGAAAGGUGAAAAGUUCCCCGAGAGGGAAGUGAAAUAGAACCUGAAACCGUGUGCCUACAACAAGUUCGAGCCCGUUAAUGGGUGAGAGCGUGCCUUUUUGUAGAAUGAACCGGCGAGUUACGAUAUGAUGCGAGGC